ACUGUGCGCUGUGUGUGGACGGAAUUCGGGACGACUGGCGGACGGCUGCCGCGAACGGGCAGGCUACAUUGAUUACCCACCCACCCAGCACAGCAUCUUGCGGGAAAAGCGUAGCAUUUCCUAGAGGAAUAUGAGCAUAAACGGGAAGGUGUCGCUGACUCUGAAUUAAAAUUUUAACCUGUCCCCCGAACAGCUACAGGAUUUGGAAGCUGAAUCAAUGUUAUCAGAUGAGUUAGAGUCCAAACCAGAGCUCCUGGUACAGUUUGUUCAGAAUACGUCCAUCCCGCUGGGACAGGGGCUAGUAGAAUCAGAAGCUAAAGAUAUUACUUGCUUGUCCCUCCUUCCGGUGACUGAGGCCUCAGAAUGCAGUCAGCUAAUAUUACCAGAUGAUACUCCAAGUCACACUAACUCCUCCAAGGAGGUCCCUUCUUCAGCUGUGCUGAGAAGCCUGCAGGUGAAUGUGGGCCCAGACGGAGAGGAGACGAGGGCUCAGACUGUGCAGAAGUCCCCGGAGUUUUUGUCCACUCCAGAGUCUCCUAGCUUGUUGCAAGAUCUACAGCCGAGUGACAGCACUUCUUUUAUUCUUCUUAACCUAACAAGAGCAGGCCUGAGCUCCUCAGCCGAGCACCUGGUAUUUGUGCAGGAUGAGGCCGAGGAUUCAGGGAAUGAUUUCCUCUCCGGGGAGAGCACGGACAGUAGCAUUCCCUGGUUCCUCCGGGUCCAGGAGUUGGCCCAUGACAGUUUGAUCGCUGCUACUCGGGCACAGCUGGCAAAGAAUGCAAAAACCAGCAGCAAUGGAGAAAACGUCCACCUUGGUUCUGGCGACGGGCAGCCCAAAGACUCUGGGCCCCUUCCUCAAGUGGAAAAGAAGCUCAAGUGCACAGUGGAAGGCUGUAACCGGACGUUCGUGUGGCCAGCGCACUUUAAGUACCACCUCAAAACCCACCGGAAUGACCGCUCCUUCAUAUGCCCUGCAGAAGGCUGUGGGAAAAGUUUCUACGUGCUGCAGCGGCUGAAGGUGCACAUGAGGACCCACAAUGGAGAGAAGCCCUUUAUGUGCCCUGAGUCCAGCUGUGGUAAGCAGUUCACCACAGCUGGGAAUCUGAAGAACCACCUGCGGAUCCACACAGGGGAGAAGCCUUUCCUUUGUGAAGCACAGGGCUGUGGCCGCUCCUUUGCUGAGUAUUCCAGCCUCCGAAAGCACUUGGUGGUUCACUCAGGGGAGAAGCCUCAUCAGUGUCAAGUCUGCGGGAAGACCUUCUCUCAGAGCGGGAGCAGGAACGUGCACAUGAGGAAGCACCACCUGCAGCUGGGCGCAGCUGGCGGUCAAGAGCAGGAGCAGACUGCCGAGCCGCUCAUGGGCAGUAGUUUGCUGGAAGAGGCUUCGGGGCCCAGUAAAGGCCUGGUGUCCGUGAGUUCCCAGCCCAGCCUUGGUGGAGAGUCACUGAACCUACCAAACACCAAUUCUAUCCUAGGAGUGGAUGAUGUUAUGGAAGAACUUAACUUUUAAAACAUUUAAACAGAACAUAACCAGGUUUUACAGAGGAGAUAUAAAGCAAUUUCUCCAUACCUUCAAAAGCCAUAUCUUCUGGAGAAAAGAAAGGGCUCUCUAGGAAACAGUUGCUCCUCUCUGGUAUAGAAAUUUCACCCAAGUUACACAGGCCAGGCCCUCUUCUCUGAAAAACUUAACAGAGGUGCUUGCUGAAGGAUCCCCACGCCCCCUGUCCGCAGUGCCUGAUGUGACACAUCACUUGGUGACCAUGCAGUCAGGGAGGCAGUCAUACGAGGUUUCUGUCCUGACGGCUGUGAAUCCACAGGAGUUACUGAACCAAGGAGAUUUAACUGAAAGGCGGACAUGAGCCUGGGCGCUGAAUCCUGGAAGAGCAGCCGUGCCUGAUCCCAGGGUUCACACCGUGGGAACGGCUGCUUCCGGGUCCCGGUCCGCCAGAACCCGAGUGACUCUGCGAACCACGAGACCCCGCUUCCUCCUCUGGCUUCUUCCCUGGCGUGGAGAGUGAACGCAGGAGAGCUGCGCUUCAGACUGUCUGGUCCGGGGACGGAAGAGAGCAGUGGAUGUGGGCUGGGUAACUGUACCUACCUGUCUCCCCCUGCAAAAUUUUGGGAUGGACUCCCCGAAAUGAACUUGAUUCCAUGUUGGCUGAAGUUUCUCUGUAUUACUGUUGAGAGGUUUUCCGAUGAAGAGCUUUCAUCCCAGACUAAGCUGUAUUUUCACGUGGAUGAACUGUGAGUCCUGCCACCAACCAUAAAACUUCACCAAGAAGUUGAGCUUUCCAGAUGCCUUGUUGCUUUGGAGAAGGGAGUGGUGUCAGUUCUGUGGUGACACCCUCCCUUUAGCAACCCGAGUAAGAGACUCUCGCCACUGGGCUGCAAAAAAAUAAAUAAAUUACUUGAAUCCCUACCUGGCCCAGCUGAGGUACUGUCGUGUCCCAUACCCCUCUCCGUGGUCACUGUCCUCUCUUUGUUAUAGAACAUACAGGAGCAUGUUUAAAGGUUUUUGUGGGGGGUUUUUAGUUAAAAAAAUCACGAUUCAGAGCUUCAGUUGUUUUCCCUCUAAUAAACAAAACAGCCCAGUCA